rnacentral:tRNA from 1 species
UCCAAGGUAGCUCAACGGUGGAGCACUCGGCUGUUAACCGAUAGGCUGUGGGUUCGAGUCCCACCCUUGGAGCCA